AUACGUAGGGUGCAAGCGUUAAUCGGAAUUACUGGGCGUAAAGCGUGCGCAGGCGGUUUUGUAAGACAGUGGUGAAAUCCCCGGGCUCAACCUGGGAACUGCCAUUGAGACUGCAAGGCUUGAGCGCGGCAGAGGGGGAUGGAAUUCCGCGUGUAGCAGUGAAAUGCGUAGAUAUGCGGAGGAACACCGAUGGCGAAGGCAAUCCCCUGGGCCUGCACUGACGCUCAUGCACGAAAGCGUGGGGAGCAAACAGGAUUAGAUACUCUGGUAGUCCACGCCCUAAACGAUGUCAACUGGUUGUUGGGGAUUUAUUUUCUCAGUAACGAAGCUAACGCGUGAAGUUGACCGCCUGGGGAGUACGGCCGCAAGGUUAAAACUUAAAGGAAUUGACGGGG
rnacentral:rRNA from 1 species